ensembl:lncRNA
GGCCAGUGGACAGUUGGUUUUCAGGGAAGAAAUACAAAUGGCCAAUGAAUAUUUGAGGAGGCGGUCCACAUCCUUAGCCUUCUGGGAAAUGCCAAUGGCAGCUUCUCUGAGGUCCCAUCCCACCCAGACUUGCUGCCAUUGAGACGGGAAAUGACAACAAAUGCUGGUGAGGAUAUGGGAAAGGGGAUCUUUAUUCACUGGUGACAGGAAUGCCAGUGGCCGCAGCUGGUAUGAAAGUUGGUGUGGGCAUCCUCAAAAAUGAAAGUGGAACUAUUGUAUGAUUCAGCGACACCACCCCUGAGUAUGUGUCUUUAGGAUGCUUGGUCACUGUAGGAGAGGCCUUGCACAUGCGUGUUUAUUACUGAACCAUUCAUCAUAGCCAAGAUAUGAAAUCCCUUGAGGCCUAUCAGCAGAUGAAGGGAUAAAGAAACUGCUCAUGCGUACAAUGGGGUUUUAUGCAGUCACAGAGAAGCAUGAAAUCACGGCAUUUGUAGGAAGAUGGAUGCAACUAGGACUCAUUAUGUUAAAUGAAAACCACACUCUGAGGGAUGGAACACCCUUCUCCAGAAGCUCCCGCUUGCUUUCUGAAGCUGUGGGACUGGAGAAGAAGGGAAGGUGGUUUUACAGUGACGAACUUGUCAGUGGGCUUCCAGCCACUCUCCACCAGGACCCCGUGUUCAGCGAUGUGGCCUCCAUCGUGGCUGUCAUCUCCACCCUGUCCUGAGCAGUGACUGUCUUAGCCAAGGAGCAAAAUGUGUCUGCAGCGCCCCAGUUUUAUCAAUCAGUGGCCCUCUAAACUUGGUAGUGUGUGCUUGAGAGCAUUUUAGCUUCUCACUUUCAUCAUAAUGGAAGCAUCCGUGUCACUUUAGGUGUCACAGGAAGGGCAAUGGCAACUUAGAUUGUCCCUCUGUCUUUUGGACACCAUCUUCACUCGAGGCAGCCUCAUGUUUAGUACAUUUCAAUGUCGCUUAAAUCGGUAAACUCUAAGUCAAGAGUCUUUUAAGACCCUCUUAAGGAGUGUUUAGCUGCAUAAGCCAUACUCUGCCUGCAUGACUGAAUCCAAGGAGCCAGAAAAUUCCAUUUAGUGAAGUCCUAAAUAUUACCAUUCGGGUGCUCCUCAGAACUUCCAAAUCCUAUUAGGUUGCUCACUUCGCCCUGACUUUGGAUCAUUUGAGCACCACUUUCACGCUGAAGCAGGCUGCUCAGGGCCCUUUAUAGACGCUGUGGUUGUUCCAUCAGAUUGCGAGACCGGGAGAGGUUCUGGUAACGUGCAGAAUAGGGCUGCCUUGGUUUCGCAUCCGUUGCUGUGAGAAAGUGCCCUGACCGAAGCAAGUUGAGAAAGAAAGGGUUCAUUUUUAGCUUACAGUUCUAUGUUACAGUCAAUCACAGAGGAGAAUAGAAUUUGCAGAGUGGGAGCUGGAGGCAGUCGGUUACAUCACAUCCAGUAAAGAGAGAAAGCACAAAUGCUUACACUCAACCAGAUCCUCCAUUUUAUACAGCCCAGGAGUCCUGUCAGGGGGUGGCUCUGCCUACAGCUAAGAUGGGUCUUCUCACCUCAGUUGACAUUGUCUGGAGCAGUGGUUCUCAAUCUUCCUAAUACUGUGACACUGUAAUAAAGUUCCUUGUGUUGUAGUGAACCUCAAC